GUGUCAGGUAAUGAUGUUGAUGGAAGUGAUAUAGAAGAUGGUAAUGGUGAUAAAGACGAAUUUUUUAUGGUAAUGGUGAUAGCUGUGGUGGUGAUGGUGGUAAAGUAGAUGAUGACAAUGACGAUGACAAUGAAUUUGAUGUUGAUGACGAUGGUGGUAAUUUUAAUGAUAAACAUAUAGGUGAUUGGGAAGAUGAUUAUGGUGGUUACAGGAAUUCUUAUGAUGAUAGAAAUAAUGAUUAUAAUGAAAAUGUUGCAGGUUACGAAGAUUUUGAUGGGGGACAAUGAUAAUGAUAUUGAUCUUAAGGAUGUUGGUAAAGAUGAUGAAGAUGAAGAUGCAGAUUAUGAUGACGAUGAUAAUGUUGGUGAUGCUGAUGAUGACGAUUUGUGAUGGUUAAAUAACAUCCAUUUGAUGAUAAUGGCCAGUAUGGUGGUAGUUUUGAUGAAGGUUGUGAAAAGAAUGACGAUGGUGUUUAUGAUGACGAUUAUUACUAUGUUGCUGGUGUCUGUGAUGAUAAUCAGGAUAUUCGUUAUGGUGAUUAUAAUGGUUAUUGUUAUUAUGGCAAUUGUGUUGCUGAUGGUGCGAAAGAGCGAUGAUGAUAAGUAAGUAAUCAAUUAACUAACGACUUUAUUUUGUGUUGAUGAUUCACUACCAACAUACGCACAUACAUAUAUAUACUCAUACUAUCGUACAUAUAAUGAAAAAAAUCAUAUCUACAAAACACAUAGGAAAACAUAUCAACUCUUAAACAAUGGAAUGGAUAAAAUGACAGGAUAACACAAAGAGCACAAAUUAUCAUAAAUUUAGAUGCAGCAAUUAAGACGUUUCUUACAUUUUAUGCAUAUAUCAAGUGAUGAUGGUGACGGUAAUAAUGUAGGAGAUGGUAAUGGUGGUAAAAACGAUGAUUGUAGUUGUGGGUAUUGUUGUGGGGAUGACAAUGAUUUUAGUAAUUAUAAUGAUGACAGCAAUGAUGAUAUUGAUAGUAAUGGUGGUGAUAUUUAUGAUAUUGCUGGUAGUGAUAAUGACGAUGGUUUUGAAGACUAUGAUCGUGCUGCUGCUGAUGAUGAAAAUAUUAUUGUAAUGGUGACGAUUGUGAUUGUAAUGUUAUAAAUGGUGUUAUUGGCAGUAAUGAUGGCAAGUACCAUCAACAAUAUGCUGAAAGUCAGAAUGCUAGUGAUAUAGAUGAUGUUGGCGAUGUUGAUGGUGAUGGCGAUAAUAAGACAAUCAAUGGUGUUGAUGUAAUUGAUGAUGGCGAUGUUGAUGGUGAUGGCGAUAAUAAGAAAAUCAAUGGUGUUGAUGUAAUUGUUAUGAUAAUCAUGAUUUUUGUGAUGGAGUUAACGACUGUUAUGGUUAUCAUGGCAAUAUGGGAUAUGCUGAAGGAAGGACAUUGCCAAAUUUGGUGACGAACAGACACAAUUUAUGCUCCCUUAUGUGAGGCCCAGCUAUCUUGCCUUCAGAUAAGCGGUUCGACAAGAACAAUUACUUUUGGCCAGGACAGACAAGAACAUUU